GUACUCGGGACAAAUGGGAGAACAGGAUGUCCAGCUAGCAGCCAGCCUGCUGCCCUCUCUUGUCUUCACUGCUGCUGCUGCACUGUGAUCAUUAGAGGUUUGGACAACAGAUGCUAAGAUACUUGAAACAUCCUCUUAACCUACCUGCCUAUCAGCAUUCCUUCCACCUUUCAUCCAUCCCUCCAGUCCUUCCUGCUGUUGUCUCACGCUCACCUCUUUUUUUUUUUUUUUUCAGCUGCAGCUGUUUUCAUGAGGGUGGGAUCACAGAGGUGAAGAGGAAAGUAGAGGCGGGACUGAUCUGCAAUGUAAGUGUGUGAGAGGAGAAAGAGACAACAAUAACAAGACAAGGGGUCAGAUCCCGAUGAAGACAAAUAUGUGAAGAUUUUUGGAAGAAAUCGUCAGUUUGUGCUGCAUUAAAGCUAAACAAAACAUAUACAGUGUAAACUCUGAUAAAACAAAUCAAGAAAAGGCCGCUCUUAUCCUCCGUAUGGGAAACCGAAGUCACGUCCCUCUAUCAACACAAACAGAUUCUGUUGUUCCCCUCGACUGUCUGUGACACAUUUGUUUAGGGUCAAAACCUCUAUUGCUGUGAGACACGCAUAUGCUGUGAGACCUAUUAAAGCUGGGUAUCAAUGGACCACCCAGGAGUUUUACACAAACCAAAAGACAGGGAAGGGGGGCAGUGUAGGAACAGCACAGAGCAUACGUUGUGACAAGAGGAAAGAUCUGAAGAUCCAAAGGGAUGAUGAGUCAAUUUUCACACUUUGAACUGCAAACAUACACAAAUGGUCACACUACACAAGGCUGUGUGGUCAAUAUUGUUGGGCCUUUUCUGAGGGGUAGUUAGGCUGGACGCAUCAGGUGGCCAGCUGUGUCGGCCACAUCAUGACACUAAGUGUUGUUUAUACACAUCAUUUCAGAGCUCAUUUAUCUGUCUCAGUUAAUCUGGGUUACACAGGUCUUCUUGUUUUGUAGGAAACUUAUUUAUAACUCUUGUAAAGAGUUUUUAACUGGAUACAAAACAGACCAAAAUGAAUAUAAACCGAUUUGUAUGACUUUGGAAAGCAAAUCAGAACAUCAGCAAGAAGAUUGACAACUUCUAUACAGUGAAAAACACGUGAAAAACGACUAUGAAUAACAGGAAGUUAAUGAAAAACAGUCUUAGUUUUCAUUUUUCUCAUCAGAGAGUGAUAUAUUUGACUAUUUAAAGACAGCAGGAUAAGAUGUACUACAGAGAAUACUACUUGUACUACUUAUUCUAUAAAGCUUACAAAGUUGAGUUUCCACAAGGCGCCUACAGUGUUUUCAAAAGUGAUGUUACAAAGACAGUAAAGUUAAAAAUUGAAAAUUAAUCAACUUUGUAGAACAGAUAGCUUUACAACACCCAGAUAAUCUGUGUAGACAUCACUGCAGAAAUGGCAGCACAUUAACUUCCUAUUAAUUGUCCUAUAUGACCGUUCAAUAGUUAAACCUUUGCUGUUGUUUGUCAGAGGAGGGGAGUUGAGCCUGUAUAUUUUGUCGUACUAUAUUUUGUUUUCUGUUUCCAGCUCACGUGGACACUGGACACAGCCAUUCUGCUGAAGGGAUAAGACAGCCGAGCUACGGGAAUCCUUUUAGUAAGCUUGUCCUUUAGCGUCCACAUCUUUUGGACAUGUUUUCGAUCAUAUUCAGAUAUUGAAUAAGACUAUCAAUGCUAAAACCUCCUUUCUCUUGUCAUUCUUUUGGAUUUAAAGGGAUUCUUUGAACGGCUGGAUCUCAGCAUGCAAAACCUGGUCAUCCAGCCAAGUGUUAACUGUCCAUGUACACAUGGAAAAACUUCAGAUUGGGGAAGUAACGUUACACUAAAG